rnacentral:rRNA from 1 species
CCUACGGGAGGCUGCAGUGAGGAAUCUUGGUCAAUGGGCGGAAGCCUGAUCCUGCCAAGUAGCGUGCAGGAUUACGGCCCUACGGGUUGUAAACUGCUUUUAUACGGGCAUAACUCGCCUUACGUGUAGGGCUUGGCGUGUACCGGGUGAAUAAGGACCGGAUAAUUCCGUGCCAGCAGCCGCGGUAAGACGGAAGGUCCGGGCGUGAGCCGGAUUUGUUGGGUUUAAAGGGAGCGUAGGCCGCAUGUCAAGCGUGCUGUGAAAUGUCCGGGCUCAACCCGGGCCUUGCAGCGCGAACUGGCGUGCUUGAGUCCGCGGAAGGCAGGCGGAAUUCGUGGUGUAGCGGUGAAAUGCUUAGAUAUGACGAAGAACCCCGAUUGCGAAGGCAGCUUGCUGCAGCGGAACUGACGCUGAUGCUCGAAAGCGAGGGUAUCGAACAGGAUUAGAUACCCCUGUAGUC